AAAACAUUUUUUUCUCAUUUAAAAAGAGUAUCUUUAAGGGCAAAUUAAUUAUUUAAAUAAAAAUAAUAACUACAUUGUAUAGUUAACAUAUGCAGAGGUGAAAUGUAUGAUGAGGAUCACAAAGUAAGGCGGGCAGAAAUGAUAGUUUACUCUUUUAAGUUUCUUACAUUAUAUAUUAUUUGAUAUUUGAUGAAUAUUAUUUGAUGGUAGUCAGUGUUUAAAAGAGGCAUACUGUAAAUCCUAACAAAACUACAAAAUAAAUAAAACUAAACGUUGUUGUUAAUAAAUCACUAGAAAAGAUAAAAUGUAACACAGAUCCUGCAUAAUUCAUCCAAACAAAAUCAGAAAAAGUAGAAAAAAGAAACCAAAAAACCAGGUGGGAUAAACAGAAAACUAACAAGAUAGUAGAUGGAAACAAAACAUAUUGGUAAAAUGGUAAAAAUAUGUCCAUAUUCUAAAAGAAAAUAACCUAACUGAAAUUGCCAACAUUUUGUAAAACUAUUUAUUCACUGAACAUCAAAAAUGGAGAGCUCUUAUCCAAGUCUAAAUUGAUUUAAACUGAGGAUGCUGUCCAUCAUAGUCUUCUCAUUUUCCAGGGUUAGCUCUGGAUGGUACUGCUGCCUCCAAGCAGCAUCAAGAUUUAGGAGGGCUAACAGUGAUCGGACAUAAUAGAGAAAGGCUCAGUCUAGCAGCAGAGCAAACUGGACAUUUUCUCACCAUUUGUUUCACCAGAGAAAGGAAGGGACAGCAACUUGGAGUCUGGAGCUGACGCAGAGGAUGUUUCUUGAUAUCUUCAACUUGAACCUGUCUCACUUGACAGAUUUAUGCUGCCAGAGUGGUUCUUCUAGUAAGAAGCCCCUUGCCAUCAGACACUGCAUUUCACUUGGUGAUUUUCCAGACUCCUCAAAUCUUUUAUGGAAAGAGAGUUUCACCUGCCACCUGGAUCAUUUCCUAUUUUUCUGCAGCCACUUCAGGGCGGGGACCCAGUAUCACGAAGCUGCAAGGUAAAAAGGAUCAAACCUUAACUGCCUACAUGUGCUCACAGGAACAUAAGUGAGUGAGGCUCACCAGCAACCAGGAAGUGAGCUGAGCCUAACAUAUGGGAGAGAUCCUGUCUCAUCUGCAGGGAAGAGCUGCUAUAUAGGAAAGUAUCUGCUCAUUGCUGCCAUGUGGGAAUGCUGGUAUUGCUGGACUUUCUGAUGUUUUAGGAGAAACUGCUGAUCUGUGCAUGAAGUCUGAUAUAUAAAGAUGAUACUAUAUUUAUGUGUCUAUGGAUAAAUAAAUAAUGUCAACUGGUUCCAGAAAAAAAAAACAAAAACAAACAACAACAACAACAACAAAAAACCACUGUGUGGGCUAAACAAGCCUGCUGAUUAGAUUUGGCACAUUGACAGUGAGGUUAAGGUGCCUAAGUGCCUGAAAAACUUAUGUGUUUUUGUUUAUGAGAACAACUUCAGCAAAGUUUCAAGAUACAAAAUCAAUUUACAAAAAUCAGUAGCAUUUCUAUACAUCAACAACGUCUAAGAUGAGACCCAAAUCAAGAAUGAGGUCCCAUUCACAACAGUCACACACACAAAAUAUCUAGGAAUACAGCUAGCCAAGAAGGUGAAAGAUCUCUACAACAAGAUUAUAAAACACUGCUCAAAGAAAUCAGAGAUGACAUAAACAAAUGGAAAAAUAUUACAUGCUCAUAGAUAGUAAGAAUCAAUAUUGUUAAAAUGUCCAUAUUGCCCAAAGCAACUUAUAGAUUCAGUGCUAUUCCUAGCAAACUACCAGUGAUAUUUUUCACAGAAUUAGAAAAAAAAAAAAAACUAUUCAAAAAUCCUAUGGAACUUUUAGAGCCUGAAUAGUGAAAAAUAGGUUAAGCAAAAAGAACAAAACUGAAGGCAUCACGUUACCUGACUUUAAACCAUAUUACAGAGUUACAAUAACCAAAACAUCAUAGUACUGGUACAAAAACAGACACAUGGACCAAUGCAACAGAAUAGAGAGCCUAGAAAUAAAGCCACACACCUACAGUCAUCUGAUCUUUGACAACAUCUACAAAAACAAGCAAUGAGAAAAGACUUCCUGUUCAACAAAUGGUGCUGAGAUAACUGCCUAGCCAUAUGCAGAAGAUUGAAACUGGACCGCCCCCCCCACCCUUUUUUUUUUUUUUUUUUUUUUUUACCAUAUACAAAAACCAACUCAAGAUGGAUUAAAGACUUAAAUGUAAAACCUAAAACUAUAAAAAACCUAGAAGAAAUCCUAGGAAAAACUAUUAUGGACAUAGGUCCUGGCAAAGAUUUCAUGACAAAGAUGCCAAAAGCAAUUGCAACAAAAAGAAAAAUUGACACAUGGGACCUAAUUAAAUUAAUGAGCUUCUGUACAGCAAAAGAAACAAUCAACAGAGUGAAGAGACAACCUACAGAAUGGAAGAAAAUAUUUUCAAACUGCAUCUGACAAACUUCUAAUAUCUAGAAUCUAUAAGGAACUUAAACAAAAUAACAAGCAGAAAACAAACAAUCCCAUUAAAAAUUGGGCAAAGGACAUGAAUAGACACUUUUCAAAAGAAGACAUACACACAGUCAAUAAGCAUGAAAAAAUGCUCAACAUUACUAAUUAUUAAAGAAAUCCAAAUCAAAACCAAAUGAAAUUGGGCAAAGGGCAUGAACAGACACUUUUCAAAAGAAGACAUACACACAAGCCAAUAAGCAUGAAAAAAUGUUCAACAUCACUAAUUAUUAAAGAAAUCCAAAUCAAAACCAAAGAAAUUGGGCAAAGGACAUGAAUAGACACUUUUCAAAAGAAGACAUACACACAGCCAAUAAGCAUGAAAAAAUGCUGAACAUCACUAAUUAUUAAAGAAAUCCAAAUCAAAACCAAAAUGAAAUACCAUCACACUCCAAUCAGAAUGGCUAAUAUUAAAAGGUUAAAAAAUAACAGAUGCUGGUAAGGCUGUGGAGAAAAUAAAACACUUAUACACUGUUGGUGGGAAUGUAAGUUAGCUCAGCCAUUUUAGAAAACAGUUUGGCAAUUUCUCAAAUAACUUAAAAUAGAACUACCAUUUGACCCAGCAGUCCCAUUAUUGGGUAUAUACCCAAAGCAAUGUAAAUUUUCUACCAUAAAUUCACAUGCAUGCAUAUGUUCAUCACAGCACUAUUCACAAUAGCAGAAACAUGGAAUCAAAUGCUCUUCAACAGUAGACUGGAUGAAGAAAAUAUGGUACAUAUACACCAUGGAAUACUACACAGGUUUAAAAAGAACAAGACCAUGUCCUUUGCAGGGACAUGGAUGGAGCUGGAGGUCGUUACCCUAAGCAAACUAAUGCAGGAACAGAAUACUAAAUACUGCAUGUUCUCACUUACAAGUGAGAGCUAAACAUUGGGUACACAUGAACACAGAGAAGGAAACAACAGACUUUGGGACCUACUGGAAGGUAGAGGGCGGGACCAGGGUGAGGAUUGAAAAACUACCUAUUGAGUACUAUGUUUAACACCUGGGUGAUGAAAUAAUCUGUAUAACAAACCCCCAUGAUAUGCAAUUUACUUAUAUAAUAAACCUGCACAUGUUCACCUGAGUCUAAAAUAAAA